CCUACGGGUGGCUGCAGUGAGGAAUAUUGGUCAAUGGGCGCGAGCCUGAACCAGCCAAGUAGCGUGAAGGAUGACUGCCCUACGGGUUGUAAACUUCUUUUAUAAAGGAGUAAAGUGAGGCACGUGUGCCUUUUUGUAUGUACUUUAUGAAUACGGAUCGGCUAACUCCGGGCCAGCAGCCGCGGUAAUACGGAGGAUCCGAGCGUUAUCCGGGUUUAUUGGGUUUAAAGGGAGCGUAGAUGGGUUGUUAAGUCAGUUGUGAAAGUUUGCGGCUCAACCGUAAAAUUGCAAUUGAUACUGGCAGCCUUGAGUACGGUUGAGGUAAGCGGAAUUCGUGGUGUAGCGGUGAAAUGCUUAGAUAUCACGAAGAACUCCGAUUGCGAAGGCAGCUUACUAAACUGCCACUGACAUUGAUGCUCGAAAGUGUGGGUAUCAAACAGGAUUAGAUACCCGAGUAGUC
rnacentral:rRNA from 1 species